UACGGAGGGGGCUAGCGUUGUUCGGAAUUACUGGGCGUAAAGCGCACGUAGGCGGCUUUGCAAGUUAGAGGUGAAAGCCCGGGGCUCAACUCCGGAAUUGCCUUUAAAACUGCAUCGCUAGAAUUGUGGAGAGGUAAGUGGAAUUCCGAGUGUAGAGGUGAAAUUCGUAGAUAUUCGGAGGAACACCGGUGGCGAAGGCGCCACUCUGGGCCGAAACUGACGCUGAGGAGCGAAAGCGUGGGUAGCAAACAGG
rnacentral:rRNA from 1 species